rnacentral:lncRNA from 10 species
CGGGAGGCGGGGCCGGGGGCGCGCAGACGGGAGGCGUCGCCCCCCAGCCCCGACCUCCGCCCGGGAGUGCGUGCGCGGCUGGUUCGCUGACUCCAGGGGUCAACGCUCGCGACCGCCUGAAGAAGCCCACGCCGGCAUCAGCCCCAUUUGACAAGCAGGAAAACCGAGGCCUAGAGAGGCGAAGUCGCCUGCCCAGCGUCCCACAGUAGCCAGGGAGGACUGUUCACCCACGCUUGCGGGGCACUGGUGGUUGAGAGGAAAAGUCCCCCACACUCCGCGGGGCCAGCGUCGCGCAGAUCCUCGGACCUCCUCCUGCUGGGUGGGGACCUGACGCAAGGGGAAGAUGGGGACAAAAUGAGCUGGGAGGUGUCAGACCCCCACAUUGAGUAAAUGCCACCGAGCACAGGUUCCUUCAGGCGGCCUCCAAUCCUCUCCACCCCGGCCUGCCACCCUCCACCCCAGACGGGCUUAGUGGGCACCUUGGCUUUCCCCGUCCUGAGAGGCUGCUGCCACCCUCGAGGACAGUCUUCCAAAUGGCUGUCCCUGCAUUCAAGAUGUCUUCGCGGAAUAGACAGCAGGAUCCUUACUGGACUGUGAGUGAGUGACGGACAAGAGAAAUCUGUAGAUGGAGUCUCACCAUGUUGUUGUCCAGGCUGGUCUCAAACUCCUAGGCUCAAGAGAUCUUCCCACCCUGGCCUCCCAAAGUGUUAGGAUUACAGGCAUGAGCCACUGUACCUGGCCCCCAACUUCUCGAAUAAAAUGAAACUAUGAUUCUUGGCCUCACUCACUACCAUGUGACAUUGAUCAAAUCACUUCACCUCUCCAAACCUCAGAGUCUUUAUCUGUAAGAUGGAAAAAGUAACACCUACUUCAGGGGCUGUCAUGAGGAUUAAAUAAAUGUGCCCAGCAGGUAGUAAGUAUACAACACAAAGCAUCUAAUGGUUCAUUCAUACAUUUGCUUAUUU